GGUAUAUAGCUCAAUGGUAGAGCACUUGCUUAGCAAGUGAGAAGUCCUGGGUUCAAUUUGCAGCACUG
rnacentral:tRNA from 1 species